UACGUAGGGCGCAAGCGUUAUCCGGAAUUAUUGGGCGUAAAGCGCUCGUAGGCGGUUUGUCGCGUCUGCCGUGAAAGUCCGGGGCUCAACUCCGGAUCUGCGGUGGGUACGGGCAGACUAGAGUGAUGUAGGGGAGACUGGAAUUCCUGGUGUAGCGGUGAAAUGCGCAGAUAUCAGGAGGAACACCGAUGGCGAAGGCAGGUCUCUGGGCAGUAACUGACGCUGAGGAGCGAAAGCAUGGGGAGCGAACAGG
rnacentral:rRNA from 1 species